rnacentral:lncRNA from 1 species
ACGUGGGCGCGGCCGACUGCACCCCAGCAUGGCUGGCUCAGCCGAGCCCCACCGGGGAAGCCACAGUUCUGGCUGAGCAGCGACUGACGCCGGAGAUGCCAGAAAGCACAGAGGAGAGGGGAGACUGGAGCUGCCCAGAGCUGUGUGCGCAUGGCGCAGAGGAGCAGCUUAAACUCGCCAGGGGGACCAGUGAAGAGCACAGCUGCUUAUCCUGCGUGGAGACCCAUGUGCUUCCUUGGCCGGAAGGGAAGGGUCCAUUGCUUCUCCAGCUGGGCACCCCCAAGCAGUCUGACUGGAGCAGGACUCCUGGGUUCGCUAUUGGUCUUAGACUCUCUCUACACCACACAGCCUAUGCCCACCAUAGAUACAACCUGCACGGACAGAAGGAGGCGUUCUGCUGGAGUAGGAGCACCAUCUGUCCAACUGUAGCACUCCUACGUGUGUCUACACUGGGGGUGUGGUUUUG